rnacentral:tRNA from 1 species
AGCCUCGUGGGAUAACGGUAACCCGCCCAACUCAGGUCUCUUUCUAUCUUGAGUAUGGGAGAUGCUGGUUCGAACCCAGCCGAGACGG